UCUAGGUGGCUAAUCAACCCCAUACACGGGCUGAAUGUGCUUUUAACAAAGCACAUGUCAGAGCGCGGUCUGUGAUCAAGAGAACUUUUGCGGUUCUUAAAAGCCUCUUCCACUGCCUGGACAAGUCGGGAGGCAGCCUCAUGUACAGCCCCACUAAAGUUGCCCAGAUAGUUGUAGCCUGUGCUGUCCUGCACAAUGUAGCUAUCCGGCAUGGCUUACCUGGUUUUGUGGCUGAGGACCUGGAUGACCUAAUCCAUCCAAUCCAUCCUGUCCAAAGUGCAGAUGACAGAGGCAAUCAAGUCUGGGCAGAAAUCGUUAACGAUUACUUUUCCUGAUCCUGUCGGUGUGGCGAGAGGAGCUGAUUUGAGGAGUGUCCAGCCAAGUGUCUUCUGCCACCUUUUUGAAAAAAAAAAGUUAAUUUCAAUCUUUUGAAUAAUGUUCAUGAUGCCCGGAAAACUUAAUGGCCAAUAAUGUUUAUCAUUUCUUUUACAACAUUACAAAG